rnacentral:sRNA from 1 species
UGAUGCCAGGGGUCAAAAGGUCUAAAUCCACAUGAGCUUGCUCAUAAGUGGAUGAAAGACCUUGGAACCCGCCCCGAUAUGAGCAUAAAAGUGGGAUGAUAAUCCCACGAUAUGCGAAUACUGGGGUGCUAUGUGCCAGUGGCACAUGUUUAGCACCGACCGAAGCGGAGCGUAGAAAGGAUUGUGGGAGUGCAACGCACGGAACAAUCCGUAGGCAUCA